rnacentral:rRNA from 1 species
AACGUAGGUUCCGAGCGUUAUCCGGAUUUACUGGGCGUAAAGCGCGUUCAGGCGGUUUGGCAAGUCGGGCAUGAAAUCUCUCGGCUCAACCGGGAGAGGUUGUCCGAUACUGCUGGACUUGAGGGCAGUAGAGGGUGGUGGAAUUCCGGGUGUAGUGGUGAAAUGCGUAGAUAUUCGCAAGAACACCAGUGGCGAAGGCGGCUCACUGGCCCGAUACUGACGCUGAGGCACGAAAGCGUGGGGAGCAAACAGG